GCAGCCGCAAAAACAUCAGCUUGAUCUCUGCUUCAUGCUCGGCCUGCGAACAGGUCUGUGGACUGCGUCUCGCCAUCAACACAAAGACCCCGAUGGAUCCAGCCGGGCACCGAGAGUCCGGGUCCCAGUGGAGUUUACUCUGCCGCAU